rnacentral:rRNA from 1 species
UACGUAGGGGUCUAGCGUUGUCCGGAAUUAUUGGGCGUAAAGAGCGUGUAGGCGGCCCGGUAAGUCCGCUGUAAAAGUCAAAGGCUCAACCUUUGAAUGUCAGUGGAUACUGCCGGGCUAGAGUCCGGAAGAGGCGAGUGGAACUCCUGGUGUAGCGGUGGAAUGCGCAGAUAUCAGGAAGAACACCAACGGCGAAGGCAGCUCGCUGGGACGGUACUGACGCUGAGACGCGAAAGCGUGGGGAGCGAACAGG